CACGUAGGGCGCAAGCGUUGUCCGGAAUUAUUGGGCGUAAAGAGCUCGUAGGCGGUCUGUUGCGUCCGCUGUGAAAACUCGGGGCUUAACCCCGAGCCUGCAGUGGAUACGGGCAGACUAGAGGUAGGUAGGGGAGAAUGGAAUUCCCGGUGUAGCGGUGAAAUGCGCAGAUAUCGGGAGGAACACCGGUGGCGAAGGCGGUUCUCUGGGCAGUUCCUGACACUGAGGCACGAAGGCCAGGGGAGCAAACGGG
rnacentral:rRNA from 1 species